UACGGAGGGUGCAAGCGUUAUCCGGAUUCACUGGGCUUAAAGGGCGCGUAGGCGGGCUGGCAAGUCCGUGGUGAAAUCUCUGAGCUUAACUCAGAAACUGCCAUGGAUACUAUUUGUCUUGAAUAUUGUGGAGGUAAGCGGAAUAUGUCAUGUAGCGGUGAAAUGCUUAGAUAUGACAUAGAACACCAAUUGCGAAGGCAGCUUACUAGACAGUUAUUGACGCUGAGGCACGAAAGCGUGGGGAUCAAACAGG
rnacentral:rRNA from 1 species